rnacentral:rRNA from 1 species
AUUGAACGCUGGCGGCAGGCCUAACACAUGCAAGUCGAGCGAGCGGCGGACGGGUGAGUAAUGUCUGGGAAACUGCCUGUUGGAGGGGGAUAACUACUGGAAACGGUAGCUAAUACCGCAUACCAUCAGAUGUGCCCAGAGGGGAUUAGCUAGUAGGUGGGGUAACGGCUGACCUAGGCGACGAUCCCUAGCUGGUAUGAGAGGAUGAUCAACCACACUGGAACUGGGACACGGUCCAGACUCCUACGGGAGGCAGCAGUGGGGAAUAUUGCACAAUGGGCGCAAGCCUGAUGCAGCCAUGCCGCGUGUGUGAAGAAGGCCUUCGGGUUGUAAAGCAUUUUCAGCGGGGAGGCGUUACCCGCAGAAGAAGCACCGGCUAACUCCGUGCCAGCAGCCGCGGUAAUAC